GGUAAACACAGAAGGGACAUGGUGCGUUCGGUAGCAGUAGCGAACAGCACAGUUUGUGUCCUGCUUGAAAACACUUUUGUUUUCAAAUGAAAAUAUCCGGGGCUUUCCCAUCUCAAUAAUUGACAAGCCCCGAGUCACCUGUGGAGACCUUCAGGCUUCUACGAAUCACCAUUUCCAAAGACCUGAAGUGGGAGACCAGCAUCAACUCCGUCCUCAAAAAGGCCCAGCAGAGGAUGUGCUAUCUGCAGAAAAGGACAAUUGUCCUGUGUACAUCCAUCACAGUCUGGUUUGGAGGAGCCACUGAACGGGACAUGAACAGACUGCAGCGAACAGUAAGGACAGCAGAGAAAAAAAUCAUUGGUGUUCAUCCGCCCACCUUCCAGGACUUGUACUCUUUAAGAACCAGGAUACAAGCAGGGAAAAUCGUUGUAGUUUCCUCAGUCUUUUUCAGCUUGUCCCCUUCAGCAGAUGUAACAGAACCCUGUGUACAAAAAUAAAAGGUUCUUCUUUCCUCA